UAGCCUAGUGAUAAGGCUUAGGAUUGCCAAUCCGGAGAUGGCGGGUUCGAUUCCCGU
rfam:Aedes albopictus isolate Foshan contig81149, whole genome shotgun sequence.